AGGUUACUGCUAUCGAGGUCCGACUAAGCCAUGCGAGUCGAAUGUAGCAAUACAUGGCGAACUGCUCAGUAACACGUGGACAACCUACCCUCAGAUCUGGGAUAAACCUGGGAAACUGGGUAUAAUACCGGAUAGGUCUUGGAUGCUGGAAUGCACCGAGGCCCAAAGCUCCGGCGUCUGAGGAUGGGUCUGCGGCCUAUCAGGGUAGUAGUGGGUGUAAAGUACCUACUAGCCUACGACGGGUACGGGUCGUGAGAGCGAGAGCCCGGAGAUGGAUUCUGAGACACGAAUCCAGGCCCUACGGGGUGCAGCAGGCGCGAAAACUUUACAAUGCCGGCAACGGCGAUAAGGGGACCUCGAGUGCCAGGAUACAAUCCUGGCUGUCGUAAUGCCUAAAAAGCAUUAUAUAGCAAGGGCCGGGCAAGACCGGUGCCAGCCGCCGCGGUAACACCGGCGGCUCGAGUGGUAACCGCUAUUAUUGGGUCUAAAGGGUCUGUAGCCGGCCUAGUAAGUCUUUUGGGAAAUCCGGCAGCUCAACUGUCGGGCUAUCAGAGGAUACUGCUAGGCUCGAGACCGGGAGAGGUGAGAGGUACUUCAUGGGUAGGGGUGAAAUCUUGUAAUCCUUGAAGGACCACCAGUGGCGAAGGCGUCUCACCAGAACGGAUCUGACGGCAAGGGACGAAAGCUAGGGGCACGGACCGGAUUA
rnacentral:rRNA from 1 species